UCUCUGGUGGUCUGGUGGUUAAAACUCCACACUCCCAAUGCAGAGGCUGCAGGUUCAAUUCCUGGUCAGGGAA
rnacentral:tRNA from 1 species